rnacentral:rRNA from 1 species
AAUCGAACCCGGAGAUAGCUGGUUCUCCCCGAAAUAGUUUUAGGACUAGCCUCAAGUUAGAUACCUGGAGGUAAAGCACUGAAUAGCCUAGCGGCCGAGAGGUUAGCGAAGCUUAUCAAACUCAGAAUGCCAGAGUAUUGAUGCUUGGGAGUCAGACAGUGUCAGAUAAAUGUCAUUGUCAAAAGGGAAACAGCCCAGAUCUACAGCUAAGGUCCCAAAGUCAGGUUAAGUGGAAAACGAUGUGAAGAUACGUAGACAACCAGGAUGUUGGCUCAGAAGCAGCCACUCAUUCAAAGAGUGCGUAAUAGCUCACUGGUCGAGCGUCUUUGCGCGGAGAAUUUAACGGGGCUAAACCUGACACCGAAGCUUAGGCAGCAUGUUUACAUGCUGGGUAGGGGAGCGUUGUAUACGCGGUGAAACAGUAGCGCAAGCGGCUGUGGAGUGUAUAGAAGUGAGAAUGCCGGAAUGAGUAGCGCGAAUGCAGUGAGAAUCUGCAUGGCCGAAAGCCUCAGGUUUCUGGAGGAAGGUUCGUCCGCUCCAGGUUAGUCGGGAGCUAAGGUGAGGCCUAACGGCGUAGCCGAUGCACAGACGGUAGAGAUUCCGUCACCACCAAAAGAGUUAAGCACAGGGACACAUAUGAAGUCUCGGAGCCGGGUGUUGGUUCCGGUAGCGAUCGAGGGAAGUUAGUACCGAAGUCCGGGAUGGAAGAUGGCGAGAAAAGCUGUGUGUAUUUCUGCGGUGCCCGUACCGCAAACCGACACAGGUAGGUAGGAAGAAGAUUCUAAGGCCAACGGGAGAAGGGUUGUUAAGGAACUCGGCAAAUUGACCCCGUAACUUCGGGAGAAGGGGUGCUGCAGCAAUGCAGCCGCAGAGAAUCGGCCCAAGCAACUGUUUACCAAAAACACAGGUUUGUGCUAAAUCGAAAGAUGACGUAUACGAGCUGACGCCUGCCCGGUGCUGGAAGGUUAAGAGGAGAUGUGCAAGCAUUGAAUCGAAGCCCCAGUGAACGGCGGCCGUAACUAUAACGGUCCUAAGGUAGCGAAAUUCCUUGUCAGGUAAGUUCUGACCCGCAUGAAAGGCGUAAUGAUUUGGGCACUGUCUCAACAGCCCGCCCGGCGAAAUUGUAGUACCGGUGAAGAUGCCGGUUACCCGCGACAAGACGGAAAGACCCCAUGGAGCUUUACUGUAGCCUAAUAUUGGGUUUCGAUGUUGCAUGCACAGGAUAGAUGGGACACUGGGAAGCAGGUGCUUUGGCGCUUGUGGAGUGGCCGUUGGGAUACCAUCCUUGCGAUAUUGGAAUUCUAACCUGCGCCUUUGAAUCAAGGCGGGGGACAUUGUUAGGUGGGCAGUUUGACUGGGGCGGUCGCCUCCUAAAGAGUAACGGAGGCGUUCAAAGGUUCGCUCAGCUUGAACGGAAAUCAAGCAAAAGAGUGCAAACGCAGAAGCGAGCCUAACUGCGAGACUGACGGGUCGAGCAGUAACGAAAGUUGGAGUUAGUGAUCCGGUGGUAUGUGAGUGGAAAUGCCAUCGCUCAACGGAUAAAAGUUACCCUGGGGAUAACAGGCUGAUCUCCCCCAAGAGUCCACAUCGACGGGGAGGUUUGGCACCUCGAUGUCGGCUCAUCGCAUCCUGGGGCUGUAUUCGGUCCCAAGGGUUUGGCUGUUCGCCAAUUAAAGCGGUACGCGAGCUGGGUUCAGAACGUCGUGAGACAGUUCGGUCCCUAUCCGGCGCGGGCGGAGGAUAUUUGAGAGGAGCUGUCCUUAGUACGAGAGGACCGGGAUGGACGGACCACUGGUGUAUCUGUUGUCGACCAACGGCAUGGCAGAGUAGCCAAGUCUGGAAGGGAUAAACGCUGAAGGCAUCUAAGCGUGAAGCCCCCCUCAAGAUGAGAUAUCCCAUAACGUCAAGUUAGUAAGACCCCUUGA